rnacentral:rRNA from 1 species
UACGGAGGAUGCAAGCGUUAUCCGGAUUUAUUGGGUUUAAAGGGUGCGUAGGCGGCACGCCAAGUCAGCGGUGAAAUUUCCGGGCUCAACCCGGACUGUGCCGUUGAAACUGGCGAGCUAGAGUGCACAAGAGGCAGGCGGAAUGCGUGGUGUAGCGGUGAAAUGCAUAGAUAUCACGCAGAACCCCGAUUGCGAAGGCAGCCUGCUAGGGUGAAACAGACGCUGAGGCACGAAAGCGUGGGUAUCGAACAGG